ACUUCUAUAGACUCAUUAAGCUCUCUGUGUCCCCUUGCAGAUAAACACACUACACCCCCAACCCCCACUACCACUAAACCCCACGUAGAGCUCCCUCUUGGUGAUUUAGAGGUGAUGGAGACCAGAGUGUUUGCAUUUGACUCCAACCUUCAGGUGUGGCUAGAUUUAAGGAGAGGAAGUUGAUUAUAGAAUGAGAAAGGUCUUCCAGAGCUAACUGGAAAGAGAGGAGGCAAGGAGGCAGGACUUAGACACAGAAGCUGUGUGGUCUCAGGCAGAUUAUUUAACUGCUCUGUGUCUCAGUUUCCUUAAACUGUAAAUGAAUGAUAGUUCAUUGUACUCAGUGGGUGGUUCUAGGAAUAAACUAGGUAAACACUUGAGAGGCACUUAUGGCAAGACCUAGCUUGUGGAACGUACUCAGUGAUGGUCCCAAACACUGAAAGAUCUGUACCUGUUGGUGAGCCAGUCAGAGGACAGAGAUGUCUCCUGGUUGGCCAUGGAGGGCAGCAAUGGACCAGGGAGUGGAAGAUAUGAAGGAUAGGUGGGGAAACCAAGGGAAGCAUCCAGGAGAGCCCAGUGGUGACACAGUGGUGUGUGUGUGUGUGCUAGGUGAGAGUGUGAAGCACAAGGAAGGACGGAAAUGAUCAUUCACGAUGCACCAGGCUGUGUGUGAGUGCUCUCAUGUGGGGAACUUUGCUCAUCCUGUUCAUCUUCGUCCCAGUGCUGAGGCGAGCACCUGGCACAUAGACUAGGCCUUAUUUUGAAAAGAAUACGUGAAUGGUGGCCUUUGAUUCUUUCCAUAACCCGAUGAUGUGUAGGAUUUAUAUGUGCCAUCCUCAUUUUGUGGAUGAGGAUGUGAAGCCUGGAGGAAUGCAAUACAUUGCCCAAGAAAUUUCAGUGAUGAACUCUGGAGCCACCAGAGGGUAGGGCCUGGGACUCGAACCCGCAUCAGAUUCUUUCUCCUGCAGCCCUCCACCACGGCCUGCUGCCCUCAUGGCCCUCAGAGACCCUUCUGAUUCUCACGUCUUUGGUUUGAAGAGAUUACCAAGUUCCAAGAGCCCAUCACUGAGUCACUGGGUCACUGUGGGAGCUCAGGAAGUGGGCCUCGUUCUUAGUUCUUGGAAUUUUAGUGAAUGGCCAGACAGAGAAGGAGGUGAAGUUAUGGCCACUGUGUGCUGACUGUAUUAUCUCUUAGUUGCCACCACGCUGAUUUGAGCGGUAUUUUUAGUCAUGCAUUCAUUAUUUAUGGUUGACGUUUUUACGAGUACCGAAAACGAGAUAAUAGUGAAGAAUUCCUGGUUGAUGACUUACUCUCAGAGUCGGCGUCCAGCCUUGUCUUAAGUAAUUCCCUUUCUUCCUGGGCUGUGAAAUGCCAUCAGUUCCUUAUGACUCAGGGCCAGGAAGCACAGGAGUUUCUCAGGACCUAUCCAGACGCUGGGAUUGCCCAUGCGUCACUGACAACAGGCGCCCUCCUCGAUGUCCCGCAGGGAUGGGCAGGCGGAUGACGGCUUCCAAGUUCCUGUUUCUGCUGCGAUCCGAUUCCAGAAUCAUGACCUGAGCUGAAGGCAGAUGCUUCACCAACUGAGCCACCCAGGGACCCCGCAUCCGCUUGUGUUCUACUGUACAACUCCAGCAUCAUCUUUUCAAAGCUUUUCCUGUUCCCUCACCCCUGCCCCAUCUCAGCUGGAAGUUUUCCUCCUCUUUAGCCCCUUACAACUUGGUCAUAGUAUGUGCAUUCCAUGAAAUUUGUUCAUCGGUCUGCUUAUAUUUAUGGAGUAGGAGCUACUUGAGACCUGACAUGUGGUGUCUUCUCUUUGAAUCCCCAGCAUGAGACCUAUAAAUCAAUAAAUGCCAAUAAAUAUAGAUUGAAUGAAA